ACCUACGGGACGCAGCAGUGGGGGAUAUUGCACAAUGGGGGAAACCCUGAUGCAGCGACGCCGCGUGUAGGAAGACGGUCCUCUGGAUUGUAAACUACUGUCCCCAGGGACGAAGAUGACGGUACCUGACUAAGAAGCCCCGGCUAAAUACGUGCCAGCAGCCGCGGUAAUACGUAUGGGGCAAGCGUUAUCCGGAUUUACUGGGUGUAAAGGGAGCGCAGGCGGCCUGGCAAGCCUGAUGUGAAAUACCGGGGCCCAACCCCGGGGCUGCCUUGGGAACUGCCAGGCUGGAGUGCCGGAGAGGC
rnacentral:rRNA from 1 species